rnacentral:rRNA from 1 species
UACGGGGGGGGCAAGCGUUGUUCGGAAUUACUGGGCGUAAAGGGCUCGUAGGCGGCCAACUAAGUCAGACGUGAAAUCCCCAGGCUUAACCUGGGAACUGCGUCUGAUACUGGAUGGCUUGAAUUUGGGAGAGGGAUGCGGAAUUCCAGGUGUAGCGGUGAAAUGCGUAGAUAUCUGGAGGAACACCGGUGGCGAAGGCGGCAUCCUGGACCAACACUGACGCUGAGUGAGCGAAAGCCAGGGGAGCAAACGGG